CAUGGUUCAUUUCUUCUUAAUCUCAUCUACUAUUUCAUAAAUUUUAGCAUUGUUCAGAAUUUCUAUCUCCAUAAUUUCCAUCCUAAUCAGCACCUUGUCGAUCAAAACACGCAUGUUGUUUUCCAUGUUCUCAAUGACAUCCAUCAAUUUUCCCAUAUAUGUUGCAACACAUUCAGGGAUAUCUUCCUUUUCAGAAUCAUCACCCUUUCCUGUUUCCCUUCUAGAACGUUAAAAAGCCAUGAGAAGUUUGAGAUUUUGUGACUUUGAUUCGG
rnacentral:lncRNA from 1 species